rnacentral:rRNA from 1 species
CUCUGACCUCAAAUCAGGC